CAAACCUGUUGCCUGGAUACCACUGUGGAAUGAAAACCAAGAGCAGCCCACAAAUAUGGAUGAACUCUUAGGAGCCAUUGGACAUCUGGAGCUCGCUUCCCAAAUAGCCCUGUAAUGCGUGCAACCACAUCUCUUCUGCUGGGUUACCAUAGAAAUAGAGGCACGGCCAGAGACGUCUGCAUUAAGCGAAGUGGCCGAGGAGCGAGUGCUUGAUUGGUCGGUCGCAGCAGUAGAGGAGCGGCGGAGGGUCAAGGAGAGAAUUCAACCGUUGAGAACGUGCUGUUUUCAGUAAGAAAUGCAGGGAAUGGAAUGCUGCAGAAUCCUUCUCCUGUCAGCUCCUUCUCAGAAUCAGCUGUUAAACAGACGACAUGCUCCAAAAAAGAAACAGCCUGCCUGAAGCAGCUUUAUUCCGUAAGUUGAAACAUCCCAUCUGUGCCACAUAAUUAACACUUUGUGAAUACUAGAGGGCUGUGAACUUUGUACAGACAAGCAUGGAUUCCGAGCCUUGCUAACACCGAUUGUUAAGCAUGUCAGCUGCUGCCCUGGGACAGUGCUUGGAAUGGUUUUUA